rnacentral:lncRNA from 1 species
CUCAACAGCUCUUUGAAAGCAGGAAAGAGGCUGAAACGGGGCUGUGAACUUGAUGUUCUCCUGGGAACUCAGAUGAAAAACUUUCUGUUUGGGAGUUAAAUUAGGAAAACCUAUACACGGAGGUUGGGAGUAAACCAAACAACUACGUGUUGGUGAGAAACUGAGGAGUCUGAGACUACAGGAGACUAAUCGAGGUGACCUAAUCCUAAGGGGACACAGCAGGAGUCUUUAGAAUCUGCUUACCGGAAGCUAUUCACCUGUAGUUCAUGGUUUGGUGAACGCCUGUGUGAACCGAAGACUGGACAGGUUUUUUGGCUUAUCGUAUGUCAGAAAGGAAGGCUAUUUAUUGUAUCCUGACUACGUGGAAUAGUCAGCUGGGGGCGUCCGAUUCAUCUGCUCAGGUCAUCCUCAGGGAAUCCAGCGACGUUAACUUCAUUUCCAGACUCUCUUCCCAUCGUCUGAUCUCCUGCUGACGUCACCCAUUGGCUGAACUGAACUAGAUACCGGAGGAGCCUGGGUGACUCAACACUUAAAGGUGAAGACACCAAGACUGAAAGCAAAGACCGGAUUUCCUCCCGGGCCCCAUGACCUAGACGAAGCUGCCCCUCUUCUCCUCGCCAUCUCUUUAUGAGCCUACUCACCUGUUCAGCUCUUGGAUACGAAAGCCUUCUUCACCACCAUGUCUCCGGUGCCCAGCAGAGUGUCAGAUAUGUAGUAGGUGCCUAAUAAAUGCCAACAGAGUCGAUGGAAUUUCCCCAGAGUAAAUGCAGGAGCACGUCCUAUCUCUGAAACACUCUCAUUUCUUACUCUUGCCUUUCGGUUGAGACCUCAUUGUGCAAUCUGAGCAGGCAGGGAGUGAAAGGAAGACUGGGCUCUGUUGACAACAAGACACAGGUGGUGACUAAUUUGGCAAUUACUUAUUUUGAUUCGUAUCCAGCAUCUUCGUUUUUCUGCAGCCUUUUAAUUAACUGGGUGGCUCCCGGCAGCACGCGGGUCCAUUUCAUGCUUGGUUGGUGAGUCCCACAAAGUUCUAUUAAAUCAAUUAAGUUGGGACAUGUGAAAGAAGCCAGGAGGGGAGGAUGUGUGAGACUUAGCUUGUCAGACAAAGCUACCCUGGUCAUGGGGCUGCAACGGAAGGGGCUUCCGGCCCCAACCUCCUGUGCUGGGUGCCGGGUGGAUCAGAUCUGGAUCUUACAUGGAUUCUGCCUCCAAGAAAGGGAUACGCCAUGUCCCAGGGAUGGGCAACAUCAGGAUGCUCCAGUGCCAGGUGGAAGAGCU